GCCCUAUUCACUUCUACCUUUGGCCUUGGCUUCUCCCUGGUGCUCAUCUUAGGUUCUCAAUUACCACCUCCUCCCACAGAGGCAACUUCCCUUGCUUUUGUUUUCCAAUUUUACCAUCUCAGCUUUUUUUUUUUUUUUUGUACCAGGGAUUGAACUCAGGGCCUUGUACUUGCCAGGCAGAUAUGGUGCCACUGAGCUACAUCCCCAGCCCUACCAUCUCAGCUUUCAACUCCCAAACAAUAUAGUUUAGUCCUGCCUAGUUUUGGGUUGUUUUAUAUGUAGAAUUCAAUCUAUGGGACUGACUCCUUUCACCCAACCUUGUAUUUAGGACAGUUCACGUUGUUCUCAAACUAGCUCAUUCAUUUUGUGUCUGUACCACAUUCCACUAUAGUACUAUGCUACAUUUAUAUAUAACUUGUACUUUGUACUGACAUUAUUUUGGGGGGAGAGGGAGAACUGGGAAUUGUAUCCAGGGCCAUUGCACUGAGCUACAUCCCUAGCCUUUAUUUUUUGUUUUGAGACAGGGUCUCCCUGAGUCACUAAAUUGUCCAGGCUGGGCUCAAACUUGCAGUGCUCCUGCCUCAGCCUCCCAGUGUGCUGGAAUUACAGGUGUGUGCCACCAUGCCCAGCUAUUUCCAGUUUUGAAGGAUUAUGACUAAUGCUGCUAUAAGUACUCUCACAUACAUCUUUUGGUGUACAUAGGUAUGCAUUUCCUGGUUGUGUAUCUAGGAUUGGCAUAUAUUCUGCUUUCACAGAUAAUGAACUAGUUUUCCAAAAUGUACCAUCCCAUCAGUUGUGUGUGACAAUUCUAGCUGCUUUGAGACUGUGUAAUUUUUUUUUCUUUUUUGAGACAGGGUCUCACUAUACAGUCCAGGCUGGAUUUGAACUCACUAUGUAGCCCAGGCUGACCUUGAAUUUGAGGUGACUGAUCUUCCUGCCUUAGCCUCCCAUGUGGUGGGAUUAUAGGCUUGCCCUCUCUUCUUGGUUUGUUUUUUUUUUGGUGUUGAGAAUUGAACUCAGGGCCUCACGCUUGCCAGGUAGGUGCUGCACCGCAUCGCUGAGCUACAUCCCUGGCCCUUGGCCUCUUUUUUGGGGGGUGGGGUACAGGGAUCGAACUCAGGACCUUGCCCUUGCGAGGCAGGUGGUGGCACCACUGAGCUAAAUCCCUCAGCCUCUUUUCUUUUUUUUUGGUACCAGGGAUCGAACUCUGGUCCUUGCACUUGUGCAGCAGGAAGUGAAACCACUGAGCUAAAUUCCCAGCCCAGCCUCUUUUCUUAAAAAAUAGUUGUCUUUGUUUUUUGAUAUUGGGGAUUGAACCUAGGGCCCUCACACUGAGCUACAUCCUCAGACCUUUUUAUUUUAAAUUAUGAGACAGGGCCUUGCUAAGUAAGUCACUAGGUUGUGCAGGCUGGGCUUGAAAUUGCAAUCCUCUUGACUCAGCCUCCCAGAGUUCUGGGAUUACCAGCAUAUAGCACCGUGUCUGGCUAAAGUAAUAACAUUAAGCUAUAACUCACAUAUCACACAAUUCAGCCAUUUAGAAUGUGCAAUUGGAAGGCUUUUACUAUAUUCAUAGUUAGGCAACUGUCACUAGAAUCAGUUUUAGAACACUUUUAUCACCCCCAGACCAGCUCACACCCCUUAGCUAUCACUCCUGCCCUGGCUUGGAUCUAAAAGUCCCCUGAGGGCCGGGGAUUUAGCUCAGUGGUUCUGGCAACCAUGAUUCUCCUUUCUGUCUCUUCACAUUUGCCUGUUUUGGCCACUUCAUGUAAAGGGAAGCGUAUAACAUGUGGACCUCUGACUGGCUUCUUUCACUUAAUAAGGUUGGUUCAUGGCUCAGUAUUUCAUUUUGUUUUACUGGUAAGUACUAUUCCACCUUAUGUAUAUACAACAUUUUAUCCACUCAUCAGUUUAUAGUUCUUUUUGGCUACUAUUAAUAAAGCUACUAUGGGGCGGGGGAUUUAGCUCAGUGGUUUCGCUGUCUGCUGUGCAAGCACAAGGACCCGAGUUCGAUCCCAGGUACCAAAAAACCCCAAAACAAUAAAGCUACAAUGGGGCUGGGGAUUUAGCUCAGUG
ensembl:lncRNA